UAAAACUGCCUUGCAUAUGUACGUUUAAAAGGCCACAACUUAAAAAAAGAUUUCCCAAUUGUAACUAAAAUGAAUUUUUACAACUGGCAUCAUCACCAUUAACAGUUUUAUAACAAAAAUGAUAGAGAAAGAGAUUCCGCAAUGCGCAUGUUUGCUUUUAGUCAGCUGUUCUUGCUGACGUCACGGUUGACUUAUUAUUCGCCCGCGCUUUUGAAUGUGAAUUAGAAUUUUGUGUUUUCAAGUGUUGUAUUAAUUGUGAAAUUUUAUAUUUUUUAAAAAGCGUUGCGCAGUGUUCGGAUGCAAUAAUAACAAUGGUAAAAAUUGUACUACGAAAUGCUUUUUUUCCUUUUCCCUAAGCAUAAAACAGUACUAAAACAAUGGAUUCAUAUUUGUCGUCGUACGGACAAAAUUAAUGUUAAAAAUGCAUUCAUUUGUGAAGUGCACUUCGCGCCAGAAGCCUUCAAAAGAAACUUGCAGUUUGAAAUGGGUAGUUAAAGCAUUUUGAUUACAAUAAUUUUACUUUUAUAACCAAACACUCUUGCAGGUUUAAGUUCGCGGAAUACAACGAAGUUGCUACCUAGCGCUUUUCCCACGUCAACCACUGCUCCUGCAGAGGCUAAAGAACGGCAGAAAAGGAUGGAGUUUCGUUCCAAAAAAGAGAUGUUAACAACAAUGUUGAAUUUGGUAACAGGAAUACAAAGGCUGAAUGGUAAUGUAAGCACUUUGAAAAAGUGCAAAAACGAGCAGUUAGCAGAAAUUAAACGCUUUAAGAUUUCCAUGAAAACGGCGGAAUUCCACAGAAAUAAUUUGGAGCAAAAACUUAGCUGCAUUUUCACCAACGGCCAGAUUGAAAAAUUAAGGGAGCCCGAAAGGGUACAAACUUUUGAGGAGAAACAAUUUUCCUCUACCAGGUGUGCGCACUCUGCAAUGGUGGUCAAAGAAAAUUGAUGUAGCUCCAGGUGUCAUGAAAUGAAGGUCAGAAAGAGUUACUGGUACGAUAGAUCAACUGAUUCGACAUUGUCUCCUGUUAACACGUUCAGGUUGCAAUGAUAAGAGGUUUGAUAAGUAAAUGGAAACAGCCUUAGCAUUUUAGCGUUAAAGAUUGCGGUUACAAUAUUGUUGCCAUUGUAAGCGAUUUGGUUGGAUCAAAUAGAGGUCUAUAUAAUGAUCUUGAAAUUAAUGUGGAAAAACCUUGGUUUUCACACAACGGAGACAGGAUUGUAAUUUUUGCUGAUGUCCCCCACUUAAUAAAACUACAGAGAAAACAUUUUUUUGAUAAAGGUUUUACUAUCAAUGGAAAAAUUAUUAGAAAAGACAUUAUUCUGAAGCUGCUCUCGCUUACGUCCGACGAGCAUCACGCAUAAAGUUUCCCAGAAGCAUUUGUCUGUAAGAGGAGCAGAAAGACAAAAGGUUAAACUAGCCACAAAAUUGCUUUCCUAGAUAAUGAAAAUUGGGAGGAUUAAUGCCAUCGACUUUUCAAAAUUACAAAUGACUGGUUUGAUCUAAUGAAUGUCAGGGUGCCCAAAGAUGGAGUGAGGGAACGCUUGCACGCUUACGGUUUAGCUUUGAACAAGCAAAAUAAUGUACUGGAACAGAUGACGGAGAUGGUCUCAUCAAUGAGAGUCAUUGGUAAAAAUGGUUUGCUUCCAUUCCAAAAACGUAUACUCCAAAGCAAUAACGCUUUAAAAUUGCUGUUGGGUGACUUAAGGCAGCAGUGCAAAAUUGAUUAAGUUUUGACCUACCGGUUAAACCAGGACGUCUUAGAAAUUUUUUUUGGCGUAAUCAGGUCAAAAGGCGGUCUUCACGAUCACCCUGACAGGCAGGAAUUCAAAUAUAGGGUGCUUUCCUAUGUACUUGGUCACAAUGAAGGAGCGAUCACAGAAGAAGGAAAUGUUGAAGUCGACAACACACCAGAUUUGGAAGGGAAUUACUUAUCUCUAACCGACAAUUAUCAAAAUAUUAAAAGUCUAUAGUAUUAUAAACCUAAAACUACAGAAAAGAUUCUUAUAUAAAAUUAUUGAUGUUAACAAAUGCGAAUAUGUACUUACACGCAAACUAAGUUUUUGCAUACUAACCACUAUUUCUUAUCCUCAUUAUAAUAAUAAUCUUAACUAACAAUUUAUUCCAUUUCUUUAUACGUAUUAUAUAUGUAUGUAUGUUUAUUAUAUUUUUGCAGGUAAUAUUUUUCAACGUGUGUCAGUUGAUCUAAAUACCACUGACCCACCUAAAAAAAAUUAUGACUUGGAGAUUCUCAACAACGACGAACUUGAGAGCUUGGCAGGGUACAUCUGCCACAAACUUGGUAAAGGCAACACGGAAUUUUGUGCCAAUUCAGAAAAUUGUUCGUCUUAUACUUAUACGUCUUUCUGAAGGAAACUCUCAAAACCAACAAAUAAGUAUGUUAAUGGAGCAUAUGAGAGCCUUGCAAAUAGUAUUUGACGACGUAAAUGAUACUGAUUUGCAUAUAUGUACAUAUGUACAAAUUCAGUUCAGAAGCAUUUAGAUUUAAGUGAUUAAAUGAUACACAUUUUAUUUAGAUCACACGCCAUGCUUUAGUUAAAAGGAAGAUGUCUGUAUACACUUUGUUUUCUUUUAUAACAGUUUUAUUUAGAACAAUAAAUUGAUAUUUUAUAUAUCAUAGUCACGAAAUAUUUAAAAAAGUUAUUAAACUAAAUAUGACGACGAUGGUUUGACGGAUGUCAUCGAAACUGUUGUAUUACUGUGUUCCAGUUUGUCCGGGUAGAGUGUGCUGAUGCUUAACUCAUUUAAACAUCCUGGGCCCCCUAGGGGAACGUAUACAAUAUGUAUAAGAUGAUACAUGUAAUUCAGCUAACUGUUGGUGGAGUAGC